ACGGGAGGCAGCAGUGGGGAAUAUUGGGCAAUGGGCGAAGGCCUGACCCAGCAACGCCGCGUGAAGGAAGAAGGUCUUCGGAUUGUAAACUUCUUUUAUGUGGGACGAACAAAUGACGGUACCACAUGAAUAAGCCACGGCUAACUACGUGCCAGCAGCCGCGGUAAUACGUAGGUGGCAAGCGUUAUCCGGAUUUACUGGGUGUAAAGAGCGCGUAGGCGGGGAAGCAAGUCAGAUGUGAAAUCCAUGGGCUCAACCCAUGAACUGCAUUUGAAACUGUUUCUCUUGAGUGCUGGAGAGGUAGAUGGAAUUCCUAGUGUAGCGGUGAAAUGCGUAGAUAUUAGGAAGAACACCAGUGGCGAAGGCGAUCUACUGGACAGUAACUGACGCUGAGGCGCGAAAGCGUGGGGAGCAAACAGGAUUAGAUACCCUGGUA
rnacentral:rRNA from 1 species